AUACGGAGGGGGUUAGCGUUGUUCGGAAUUACUGGGCGUAAAGCGCACGUAGGCGGACUGGAAAGUUGGGGGUGAAAUCCCGGGGCUCAACCCCGGAACUGCCUCCAAAACUUCCAAUCUAGAGAUCGAGAGAGGUAAGUGGAAUUCCUAGUGUAGAGGUGAAAUUCGUAGAUAUUAGGAGGAACACCAGUGGCGAAGGCGGCUUACUGGCUCGAUACUGACGCUGAGGUGCGAAAGCGUGGGGAGCAAACAGGAUUAGAAACCCUAGUAGUCC
rnacentral:rRNA from 1 species